rnacentral:pre_miRNA from 11 species
NNNCGCACGGGAUAUUAUAUUAUCCCGUGCGGUUGGUAUAAUGAAACCGUACGGGAUAAUAGAAUAUCCCGUACGGUC